CCAAGCUACUAAGGGCUUGUGGUGGAUGCCUUGGCACCGAGAGGCGAUGAAGGACGUAGCUACCUGCGAUAAGCCACGAGUAUCUGGAAGCAAGAUUAUCCGUGGAUUUCCGAAUGGGGAAACCCCGCCGGUGAAUGCCGGUGAGCCUUAGCUGAAUACAUAGGCUAAUGGCGGCCAACCCGGGGAAGUGAAACAUCUCAGUACCCGGAGGAAAAGAAAGCAAUUAGCAACUCCGUGAGUAGUGGCGAGCGAAAGCGGAAGAGCCCAAACCACUGGCAUGUCAAAGGCCAGUCCCGUUGUGUCAGUGGGGUUGUGGGAUUAUCUCGGAGUGGGUCUGGACACUCCAGGAGGUUACAAAACCGUAUCUUAGUGGAACACGACUGGAUAAGUCGGGCCAUAGAAGGUGAUAGCCCCGUACACAAAAAGAGCACGGUCCUCUGGAUAAUAUCCCAAGUAACACGGGUCAAGUGGAAUCCUGUGUGAAUCUGGGAGAACCAUCUCCUAAGGCUAAGUACUACUCGGUGACCGAUAGUGAACCAGUACCGUGAGGGAAAGGUGAAAAGCACCCCGAACAGGGGAGUGAAAUAGAACCUGAAACCACAAGCCUACAAUCAGUGAGAGGGCUAUGGGUGGCUUAUGCCACCAAUGCCUGAUCGCGUGCCUUUUGCAUAAUGAGCCGGCGAGUUACUUUGCGUAGCAAGGUUAAGGGCUUUUAGUCCGAAGCCAUAGCGAAAGCGAGUCCGAAUAGGGCAUUGAGUUACGCAGAGUAGACCCGAAACCGUGUGAUCUACCCAUGGCCAGAAUGAAGUCCCUGUAAUAGGGGAUGGAGGUUCGAACUAAUGGCGGUUGAAAACGCUUUGGAUGAGCUGUGGGUAGGGGUGAAAGACUAAACAAACUCGGUUAUAGCUGGUUCUCCCCGAAAUGCCUUUAGGGGCAGCGUCGUGAAGUAAUUUGCGGGGGUAGAGCACUGGAUGGGCUAGGGGUCUUACCAGACUGCUGAACCCAACCAAACUCCGAAUACCGCAGAUGGUAUCACGGCAGUGAGAACAUGGGGGAUAAGCUCCAUGCUCGAGAGGGAAACAACCCAGAUCGCCAGCUAAGGUCCCUAAUAUACGCUAAGUGGAAAACGAAGUGUAACCGCGAAAACAACCAGGAUGUUGGCUUAGAAGCAGCCAUUCAUUUAAAGAGUGCGUAAUAGCUCACUGGUCGAGCGGCUAUGCGCGGAAGAUGUAACGGGGCUUAAGCGUGUAACCGAAGCUGCGACUUGCCAUCUUAGAUGGCAGGGGUAGGGGAGCAUUCUAUACGGGUAGAAGCAUGACCGAAAGGACAUGUGGACUGUAUAGAAGCGAUCAUGCCGGCAUUAGUAACGAUAAGGAAGGCGAGAAUCCUUCCCGCCGAAAGUCCAAGGGUUCCCGGGGCAGGUGAUUCCCCCCGGGGUUAGUCGGACCCUAAGCCGAGGCCGAAAGGCGUAGGUGAUGGAAAGCAGGCACAAAGAUUCCUGCACCACCUCCCAACCGUUAUCAGCAAUGGGGUAACGCAGGAGGAUAGAACCAGCGUCCAUGUGGUGGACGUCUGCAUAUAUAGGCUGUGUCCCAGGCAAAUCCAGGACACAUAUAAGCCGAGGUAUGUGGCAAGUGGAUCCUUCGGGUGAAGCAAGUGGUUUGAUUCCACACUGCCAAGAAAAACCUCUAGCGAGGUUGGAGGUGCCCGUACCGGAAACCGACACAGGUGGACGAGGAGAGUAUCCUAAGGCGCUCGGGUGAUCCACCCUUAAGGAACUCGACCAAUUGACCCCGUAACUUUGGAAGAAGGGGUACUUUUGUCGUGUAGGGACUUGCUCCUGAAGCGAUAAAAGUGGCACUGAAGUGGCUCGGGCGACUGUUUAUCAAAAACACAGGUCUCUGCAAACUCAUAAGAGUAUGUAUAGGGACUGACGCCUGCCCAAUGCCGGAAGGUUAAGGGGAGGAGUUAGCGCAAGCGACGCUCUGAACUGAAGCCCCGGUCAAUGGCGGCCGUAACUAUAACGGUCCUAAGGUAGCGAAAUUCCUUGUCGGGUAAGUUCCGACCUGCACGAAUGGCGU
rnacentral:rRNA from 1 species